rnacentral:rRNA from 1 species
GUAACAGGUCUUCGGAUGCUGACGAGUGGCGAACGGGUGAGUAAUACAUCGGAACGUGCCCGAGAGUGGGGGAUAACGAAGCGAAAGCUUUGCUAAUACCGCAUACGAUCUCAGGAUGAAAGCAGGGGACCGCAAGGCCUUGCGCUCACGGAGCGGCCGAUGGCAGAUUAGGUAGUUGGUGGGAUAAAAGCUUACCAAGCCGACGAUCUGUAGCUGGUCUGAGAGGACGACCAGCCACACUGGGACUGAGACACGGCCCAGACUCCUACGGGAGGCAGCAGUGGGGAAUUUUGGACAAUGGGCGCAAGCCUGAUCCAGCCAUGCCGCGUGCAGGAUGAAGGCCUUCGGGUUGUAAACUGCUUUUGUACGGAACGAAAAGACUCCUUCUAAUAAAGGGGGUCCAUGACGGUACCGUAAGAAUAAGCACCGGCUAACUACGUGCCAGCAGCCGCGGUAAUACGUAGGGUGCGAGCGUUAAUCGGAAUUACUGGGCGUAAAGCGUGCGCAGGCGGUGAUGUAAGACAGAUGUGAAAUCCCCGGGCUCAACCUGGGAACUGCAUUUGUGACUGCAUCGCUGGAGU